UACGAAGGGUGCAAGCGUUAAUCGGAAUUACUGGGCGUAAAGGGUGCGUAGGCGGUUGUUUAAGUCUGUCGUGAAAUCCCCGGGCUCAACCUGGGAAUGGCGAUGGAUACUGGGCAGCUAGAGUGUGUCAGAGGAUGGUGGAAUUCCCGGUGUAGCGGUGAAAUGCGUAGAGAUCGGGAGGAACAUCAGUGGCGAAGGCGGCCAUCUGGGACAACACUGACGCUGAGGAGCGAAAGCGUGGGGAGCGAACAGG
rnacentral:rRNA from 1 species